rnacentral:rRNA from 1 species
AAUAUUGGACAAUGGGGGCAACCCUGAUCCAGCCAUGCCGCGUGUGUGAAGAAGGUCUUCGGAUUGUAAAGCACUUUAAGUUGGGAGGAAGGGCUUUGCGUUCAUACCCUGAAGUCUCGACUUUACCUACAGAAUCAGCACCGGCUAAUUCUGUGCCAGCAGCCGCGGUAAUACAGAGGGUGCAAGCGUUAAUCGGAAUUACUGGGCGUAAUGCGCGCGUAGGUGGUUCAGUAAGAUGGGUGUGAAAUCCCCGGGCUUAACCUGGGAACUGCUUUCAUAACUGCUGAGCUAGAGUACGGUAGAGGGUAGUGGAAUUUCCUGUGUAGCGGUGAAAUGCGUAGAUAUAGGAAGGAACACCAGUGGCGAAGGCGACUACCUGGACUGAUACUGACACUGGGGUGCGAAAGCGUGGGGAGCAAAC